CAAGCCUCCAGUCAGGAAAGUCCAAGUCCCAGUCAAGUCUCAUGUCCCUGAUGUCCAAGUCCCAGUCAAGUCUGAAGUCCCUAAGGUCCAAGUCAAGUCUCAAGUCCCUAAGGUCCAAGUCAAGUCUCAAGUCCCUAAGGUCCAAGCCAAGCCUCACGUUCCUGAGAUCCAAGCCAAGCCUCCAGUCAGGAAAGUCCAAGUCCCAGUCAAGUCUCAUGUCCCUGAUGUCCAAGUCCCAGUCAAGUCUCACGUCCCUGAGAUCCAAGUCAAGUCUCACGUCCCUGAGCUCCAGGUCAAGCCUCCAGUCCCUGAGCUCCAGGUCCAGCCUCCAGUCCCUGAGCUCCAGGUCCAGCCUCCAGUCCCUGAGCUCCAGGUCCAGCCUCCAGUCCCUGAGCUCCAGGUCCAGCCUCCAG
ensembl:lncRNA